rnacentral:lncRNA from 1 species
CACUAUCAACCUCAAGAUCUCGGUAUAUAAAGAAACUUUAUUUUGAAAAUCAAUGGCAUGUAUAAGCUAAUAAAGUAAAUGUUAAUGUGAAAUGAAUGUAUGGUUAGCCAUUGGUAUGGCUAACAAAUUUUGGUUUUGGUAUGUGAUGAGGUUAUCUUAUGAAUAUGUUAAAUCUAUCUUGAAAAUAUAUUGAAAUGGAUUGGUUGUGUUCGAUUGGUCUCGG